UACGGGGGGGGCAAGCGUUGUUCGGAAUCACUGGGCGUAAAGGGCGCGUAGGCGGGAUGGCAAGUCAGUCGUGAAAUCUCUCGGCUCAACCGAGAAACGUCGGCUGAUACUGCCGUUCUUGAGGGAUGCAGAGGAGACUGGAAUUCCCGGUGUAGCGGUGAAAUGUGUAGAGAUCGGGAGGAACACCGGUGGCGAAGGCGGGUCUCUGGGCAUUUCCUGACGCUGAGGCGCGAAAGCGUGGGGAGCAAACGGG
rnacentral:rRNA from 1 species